rnacentral:rRNA from 1 species
GCACGAACUUAGCCCGUGCUUCCUCCAGGGAUCGGUCAACCUUGCGGCUUCGUCCCCCUCGACAGUGCUUUACAACCCGAAGGCCUUCAUCGCACACGCGGCGUCGCUUGGUCAAGCUUGCGCUCAUUGCCAAAGAUCCUCGACUGCAGCCACCCGUAGGUGUCUGGCCAGUGUCUCAGUGCCAGUGGCGCGGGUCGUGCUCUCACACCCGCUAGACAUCUUUGCCUUGGUGAGCCGUUACCUCACCAACUAGCUAAUAUCACGUGAGCCCCUCUCGAGGCGAAACUCAUUUCCUGGCCAAGGGAUGCCCCUCAACCAAAUCGCCGCGUAUUACCCACUCGUUAGAAUGGCUAUCCACGUCCCCGAGGUAGGUUACCCACGCAUUACUGCCCCUUUCGCCACUUCCCCCACCACUGUAUUGCUACAACAGUGGGAUUCGUUCGACUUGCAUGCCUAAUCCACGCCGCCAACGUUCGUU